rnacentral:misc_RNA from 1 species
UGGAUGGCGGAUUAGGGAUUGUAAGAGGAUAUUUAACUUCUGCUGGAGGUGGGAGGCUACUCCUGUCGAAAGCAAAGUCUCCCAAUUCGAGUACUCUCCUUGUAAACCCCAGGGUUCGUCUAUUCUUCUCCACUGAAGCUCCAAAGCAGAGAAAAUAUGAGAACUACUACCCGAAGGAUAAGAAGGAAAUUCCAAAAGAAAAUGAGAGCAAAUCUGAAUAUAAAGGGAACUCGGGUAGUGCGGGUGGUGGUGGUGGAGGUGGAAACGCCCAGAACUUUAUGAAACAGUUUCAAAAUUUCAUUGCUCCUCUAUUGUUCAUUGCCUUUUUGUAUUCAUCAAUUUUUUUCGGCCCUCACGAGCAGAAGCAGAUUAGCUUCCAAGAGUUUAAAACCAAGUUACUUGAACCUGGCCUGGUGGAUCACAUUGUUGUUUCAAAUAAAUCAGUUGCAAAGGUGUAUGUAAGGAGCUCCCCAAAGAAUGGAAAUCAAACCAGUGAUGAUAGUGCUUCCAAUGUUCAGCUUCCUGCCAAUGGUACCCCUGCUAGAGGGAAUACCAAACACUACAAAUAUUACUUUAACAUUGGAAGUAUUGAGUCUUUUGAGGAGAAGCUGGA